CCUCUCCCUGCCUCCUUCAACAGGGUUUCCCCUUCAGGCCUCCGGGGUCCCCUCCCCAUACCUGAGCUCGCUGGCCUCCUCCCGCUACCCCCCAUUCCCUUCUGACUACCUGGCCCUGCAGCUGCCCGAGCCCAGUCCCCUGAGGCCCAAGCGGGAGAAACGGCCCCGCCUGCCCCGGAAACUCAAGGUACCCUGACGUGGGGGUGCUAGGGAGGGGCAGGACGGCAGGAGGACAGUCACCUGAGGGAGGCUGAAGGCGGGGGCCUGUCAGAGAACCAUGAACAGUUAAUUUGGGGACCCAGUCAGCACUUAGCACUGAGGGGUGGAUCACAGAAGUCUCGGCUUACAGGCUUGUAUGGAGACAAAUCAGGGCAGAACCAGCCUUGGAGGACCCGGUGUGCAGAUGCCAGGGAUCCCGCCCUUUCAUGGCUGCAGUGUAGCGGGGCCAGGCUCAUUUUCCCAGGGGGGCGUGUUGUGUGAUGCCAGGUAGCCCCAGACCGGGUCAGGAUUAUGGGAUCUAGAGUCAAGUCAAGACUGCCUGUUAGAAACCACGUGGCCUUGAGCAGGUCUCUGCUACCCUCUAGGCCUCCUAGGCUUGGCACCUAUAGGGCGAGUGGUCCUACUCGAUGUGACCAGCAAGCGCCCCUGGAGCGCCUCCUGUUACACGGCAGUGCACAAAGCAGACCAGUGCCUGCCCUCACAGAGCUCACAGUCUAGCAAGAUAGGCAGAAAACACACCAGAAAAGUAGGUACUUGUGGAGAAGAACAGAGCGAGGUCCAGAGCAUGGGGACGCCAGGGGGACGAGGCUGACACUUAGGGCCCAGCAGUCUGGGAUGUUCUUGAUCAGAGACUUACAGGAAAUGGCAGCAAGCUGUGUGGCUCCUGGGCAGUGUUUCUGUCGGGCAGAGUCUGUGUUUGGGAGAAAAGUAAGCAGGGAAUUGGGUCCCGGAGCAGGUCAGAGGGGGAGCUCAUGAGGUGCCAGUGUGCAGGAUUCGCUGUGAAUGAAGCCUUGGAGACAGCAGUUCCCUGGCGGGGCGCAGGUUGCAGGUGUGGAGGGGGAGUGAUCUAAUUGCAUCUUAACAAAAUUGCAGACACUGGUGGUCAGAGAACAGACUGAGCGGUGGAGUGAGUUGGGACGGGAGUGAGGAGGCCACCACGGUAAACCAGGCCAAGGGCAGAGGGUCCAGAGGGAGCUGCGGACCCAUUUCAGAGAAUGAGCAUGGGAGUUCCUGGAGGACCUGGUGUGGGCUGUGCGGGAGAGAGGCCAGGAUGCCUCCAGGGCUUUAGUCUGAGCACGAGUGGAGUCUCCCUCCCUGGAGAUGGGAGGGCUGUGGGACCACAGGCUUGGAGGAAAACUGAGUCUGGCCGCGGAUGUGUCAGAUGCCAUCUGGAAAGGCAGCUAGAUAGCGGCCCGUGAGGGGCUGCGCAUUUGGAAGCCGCCAGGCUGGCGGUAGAUGCAAGCCUUGGGAGAGAUGGGGAUGGGCUGAGGGGCAGAGCGGAGUGGGGACCAACUGGGCGGCUCCCAGGGUUCUGGAGCCAGAAGCAGAAUGAGAGGCCGCAUUUGCGGUGGUCUGGAGUACAGGAUCUGGAGCUCUAAUCCCAACUCUGCCGUUUUCUCCGUGUGACCUUGGCCCUGUGAGGCUUCACCUCUUGAGCCUGAGAAGCAGAGGUGACAGUACUGGCCCUGGUUCUUAGCAGGGGGGUGGCGGGCAGGGUAGGGGGUGGCGCAGCACUGGGGGGCACUUUGAGGCUUUCUGGCUGGGUGCUGAGUCCUGAAGCAGAGUCAUGUCCGGGAGCAAAGUUGUAGACAUUCUGGAGAGAAGGUUUGAGAGGGUGGCCCAGGUCCAUGGCUGUCGGGGGAGGUGGGGAGAAGCCAGGAAAGGCCUCAGCAAGGAGAACGUGUAAGCCCAGGGUGAGUGGAUUUGGAUAUUCCUGGCUGAAGCCAUAGUGGGAAGGGAGACAGGGCCACAGGGAAAGCACUGCCUGGGCCAGAGCAGGAGUGGUAAGAAAUUGGCAAGAAGAACCGGGUGGGGUGGGGUCAUGGAAGGCCUGGACAGUGGCCUGAAGUGGGAAUUUGUCUGUUACUGUCAGGGGAGCGGGAGUCCCUGAAGGGCCAGGGGAGUGAGGAGAUGGAAGGAAGGGAGUCCAAGCAGAGGAAGGAUAGCUGUGAAGACAGAAGCAGGUUGGUUCUGUCAGGCCUGAGUUGGACUUGGCCAGCUUUGAAUCCCAGCUCUUCCAGUGCUCACCAUGCGACCUCAGCGUUGUCAUUUCACUCUUUAAGCCACAGCUCUCUUUCUCCAUUCAGUGGCGGCAUUGUGCGGAGAAUGUGAGUGAAGGGAUGAAAAUCGCUCGGCCCGUGCCUGGCCCCUAGUAAGCCACAGAGAAAUGUGAGCCGCUGCCAGUCAGGCUGAGAGGACGCCACUGAGGAAGUCCAGGCCAGGGUGGGACAUGCUGCGCACAGUGGGGAAGGAGAGGAGGUGGCCAGAGGAGGGGAUGGUCCUUUCCAGUCAUACACGCAUGUCUGCUUGUGUGUGUACAUGUGGGGGCCUGGUGCAGGGCGUGGGGGUGCUGUUCAGAGUUGGACCCCCCAUCAUCCAUCCUGCCAGCCUCCUAUACCCUGAGGCCUGACCCACCCUGGCCCCCACACCACCCCAGCAGCGGAGAUGAGGGUAAGUGAGGGCUCCUUAGGAAGCAGAGAGGAGGCCACAGGGCCAAAUGUGACACUCAGAAGGGCCACUGGAGACCACGCAUGGCGUUUCCUGCCAGCCCACUCAGCAUCUAGCCCAGGGCCAGACUGGACACUGCCCCGCAGGACCCAGCAGGCCUAAGCCUCAGGACCUCCAUGUCCACACCAGGUUCAGCCUCCUCUGCUGGCACGUGACUUCUCCCCGUUUCCCGCCCCCCAGUGUCCUGAGGCUGGGAGGGCAUUAACAGAAACCACCUGACACACAGCAGGUGCCCAGUUUGUGCCCACAGACAAAGCACGGGGACUGCAGAGGAGACCCACAGAGCUCUCUAGGGAGGGUUUGUGAGGACCUGGCAGCGGGGGGGAGCUGAAGGGUUGAGCAGGGCAGAGGCCACUUCCCACCCUCAGAGGACAAAGCAGGACUUCUGACAAAUAGAGCAGGAUGCCCAGGGGGAGGGGCUGCCUGUCGUCCCGCAGGCGGCACUCCCGCCCCGAGGCCCCGAGUGGCACGGUGACGCGCUCAGGUCUGUGUUUUAGAGCGCGCGCUCUGGCUGCCGUGCGGAGGAGCUGGAUCUGGGAGAGGCUGCGGGCAGGGAGUCCAGUUAGGAGGCUGGGACCGCAGCCCAGAUGGCGGUGGGACCCCCCGACUGCCCUGUGGGAGGGCCGCUGACCUUCCCUGGCCGGGGUUCUGGGGCUGGGGUCGGGACAACCCUGACCCCCCUCCCACCCC
rnacentral:lncRNA from 10 species